AUUGAACGCUGGCGGCAGGCUUAACACAUGCAAGUCGAGCGGGGUGAUGGUGCUUGCACUAUCACUUAGCGGCGGACGGGUGAGUAAUGCUUAGGAAUCUGCCUAUUAGUGGGGGACAACAUCUCGAAAGGGAUGCUAAUACCGCAUACGUCCUACGGGAGAAAGCAGGGGAUCACUUGUGACCUUGCGCUAAUAGAUGAGCCUAAGUCGGAUUAGCUAGUUGGUGGGGUAAAGGCCUACCAAGGCGACGAUCUGUAGCGGGUCUGAGAGGAUGAUCCGCAACACGGGGACCGAGACACGGCCCAGCAUCCAGCGGGGGGCAGCAGUGGGGAUUAUUGUACAAUGGGGGGAACCCUGAUCCAGCCAUGCCGCGUGUGUGAAUAAGGCCUUAUGGUUGUAAAGCACUUUAAGCGAGGAGGAGGCUCUUUUGGUUAAUACCCAAGAUGAGUGGACGUUACUCGCAGAAUAAGCACCGGCUAACUCUGUGCCAGCCGCCGCCGUAA
rnacentral:rRNA from 1 species